rnacentral:lncRNA from 1 species
AAAACACAACCUAAACCUUCCAACGUUUACCUCAGGGAUUUCCAACGCACAUGACAAGUUAAAAAUCAUCAUUCCCAUAGAUUUUAGUCAACUUAACACUUGAGCACAUACUUAAUCACAGUCACCACUUACUAGUUCACAUUUAACCAAUUAAAAUGAUGUUUUGAAUGUAGUAACAUACCUUAGAGAAUUUGCUCAAUUCCUUACAAGAUAUGCACUCAAUUUUCACUCAGAUUUUCUGACUACACACCCUACACUAGGUACAAGUGAGAAGAUUGAUGUAAACAUGAAAACUAGUACUCACAUAUAUGUAUAACAAGAAAGCAUUUUCUGGUAUU